CAGUGGGGAAUAUUGCACAAUGGGCGCAAGCCUGAUGCAGCCAUGCCGCGUGUAUGAAGAAGGCCUUCGGGUUGUAAAGUACUUUCAGCAGUGAGGAAGGCGGAGUCGUUAAUAGCGGCCUCGUUUGACGUUAGCUGCAGAAGAAGCACCGGCUAACUCCGUGCCAGCAGCCGCGGUAAUACGGAGGGUGCGAGCGUUAAUCGGAAUUACUGGGCGUAAAGCGCAUGCAGGUGGUUUGUUAAGUCAGAUGUGAAAGCCCGGGGCUCAACCUCGGAAUUGCAUUUGAAACUGGCAGACUAGAGUACUGUAGAGGGGGUAGAAUUUCAGGUGUAGCGGUGAAAUGCGUAGAGAUCUGAAGGAAUACCGGUGGCGAAGGCGGCCCCCUGGACAGAUACUGACACUCAGAUGCGAAAGCGUGGGGAGCAAACAGGAUUAGAUACCCUGGUGA
rnacentral:rRNA from 1 species